GCUAGUGUGGUGUAGUGGUUUGAGCAUUGGACUAUGACUCUGGAGACAAGGGUUCAAAUCCCUGCUCAAGCC
rnacentral:tRNA from 1 species